rnacentral:lncRNA from 1 species
GUAUUUAUUUGAUACAACAAAAGAUAUAACUGUUUUACCGUGCGGGCACACGAUACAUUUGGACUGCGUGCAAAAGAUGGAGCAUCACAGCCGGUAAGAAAUUUGUAACCACACCAAUCCUCUGCUCACCGAACAUUGAGACUUUUACUUCUGUAUUUCUGCUAAUAAUUGCAACUCUUAAGGUAACCGGAUUCAUUUACUUCAUGUUCCUCUAGGUACUCAUGUCCCGUGUGCUCAAAAUCCAUCUGUGAUCUGUCAAACUUGUGGGGAAUGAUCGACCAAGAAGUAUGUCUCCAUGUUCCUUCUUUCUCACCCAUUUUCCCAAUAAAUACUUGUUGGUAAUACAAGGUUGAUUACACUAAAACUUUCUACUAAAUUUGUGAUCUCAGGUUGAUGCAACUCAAAUGCCUGAGAUGUAUAAGGACAAGAUGGUAAGGCUCUUUGUUUCCUAGAUAAAGAUAACAUGCAAGAAGUUAAAUUUAGUACUAUUGGAAACUGAAUCCUAGUAUUCAUAUUCUGGGAAAUAUGUGUAUUGUAGGUGUGGAUCCUCUGCAAUGACUGUGGUGCAAUUGCUGAAGUGCAUUUUCACAUUUUGGCACACAAAUGCUUAAGAUGCAAGUCUUAUAACACUAGACAGAUCCAAGGAGGCCCUGCAUCUUCGUGCUCAUCAUCCUCUGGCCAUAGAAUUGCCGAGGCAGUCAGAUGACACUUCUGGUUUAGACAAGGCAGCUUUUAGAUGAUACCGGUGGCUCCAUCCAUAGAUACGGCUAGAAAAGUAGUAGUACCCCAAAGAACUUUUGGGGGAUCAAGGAAAUAAUGUAUCUAAGCUAGAACUUAUGCAUGUUCUAAAGGAAUAAUUGAUUAAUUGGUUCAAGAAGUUUGUCAGUCUUGUAAGG